GGUUCAUCAGCACCAGGACUACUUAACAGUACAGAGAAGAUAGGCAUGGUCCCUACACAAGGACGAUGCAAAAAUCCAUAAAGUACUCCGUAUUUUA
rnacentral:snRNA from 1 species